rnacentral:rRNA from 1 species
AUACGGAGGGUCCAAGCGUUAUCCGGAUUCAUUGGGUUUAAAGGGUCCGCAGGCGGGAAAAUAAGUCAGUGGUGAAAGCCUACAGCUCAACUGUAGAACUGCCAUUGAAACUGUUUUUCUUGAGUAUAGAUGAAGUGGGCGGAAUAUAUCAUGUAGCGGUGAAAUGCAUAGAUAUGCUAUAGAACACCGAUUGCGAAGGCAGCUCACUAAACUAUUACUGACGCUCAGGGACGAAAGCGUGGGGAGCGAACAGGAUUAGAAACCCUAGUAGUCC